rnacentral:rRNA from 1 species
GAGUUUGAUCCUGGCUCAGGACGAACGCUGGCGGCGUGCUUAACACAUGCAAGUCGAACGCUGAAGCACUGUGCUUGCACGGUGUGGAUGAGUGGCGAACGGGUGAGUAACACGUGAGUAACCUGCCCCUGACUUCGGGAUAAGCUUGGGAAACUGGGUCUAAUACCGGAUGUGACUACUGGCCGCAUGGUCUGGUGGUGGAAAGGGUUUUACUGGUUGGGGAUGGACUCGCGGCCUAUCAGUGUUGUUGGUGGGGUAGUGGCCUACCAAGACGACGACGGGUAGCCGGCCUGAGAGGGCGACCGGCCACACUGGGACUGAGACACGGCCCAGACUCCUACGGGAGGCAGCAGUGGGGAAUAUUGCACAAUGGGGGGAACCCUGAUGCAGCGACGCCGCGUGCGGGAUGACGGCCUUCGGUUGUAAACCGCUUUCAGUAGGGAAGAAGCGAAAGUGACGGUACCUGCAGAAGAAGUACCGGCUAACUACGUGCCAGCAGCCGCGGUAAUACGUAGGGUACAAGCGUUGUCCGGAAUUAUUGGCGUAAAGAGCUCGUAGGUGGUUGGUCGCGUCUGCUGUGGAAACG